rnacentral:lncRNA from 1 species
UAAAGAUGAUUCUAUUUAAUAAAUAUUAUAAGAAAAUUUUAUAAAACUACAUUCAUUACAUAAAUGAUUACCUCUGCAGGAGUAUAGCUCUGCAGCUUUUUCCGUAGCUUAUCGUAACUCCUAUAGUGUCACGCCCCCCGCCCCGAGGCCGCUACCGAUUUGGCCGGUUCGGGCGCGGCGGGCGAACCGCCGAACGGACAGCACCUCCCCUGUCCGCCCAAGGCUCAACGACGAGAUCAUGUACAACAAGUCCCCAGGAAAUCAACUUGGAUACAUACAUGAUCAUGCAACAACAGCGAGAGCACAA